GCAGACACAUUCCAGCCAAUCAGCAGCAGACCCUCCCUCCCAGACCCUCCCACCUCCUGGACAGCAUCCAUUUUGAAGCUGCAUUCUUAGCUUCUUCUGAGCUGUCCAGGAGGUGGGAGGGUCUGGGAGGGAGGGUCUGCUGCUGAUUAGCUGGAAUGUGUCUG